rnacentral:rRNA from 1 species
AGAGUUUGAUCCUGGCUCAGAACGAACGCUGGCGGCGUGCCUAACACAUGCAAGUCGAGCGAGAAAGUCCCUUCGGGGGCGAGUAGAGCGGCGGACGGGUGAGUAAUACGUGGGUAAUCUCCCCUCGAGCCUGGGAUAACCCUGCGAAAGUGGGGCUAAUACCGGAUAAGACCACAUGGCAUAUGCCACGGGGUAGAAGGUGGCUUGUAUUCGUACAUGCUAUCACUUGAGGAUGAGUCCAUGGCCUAUCAGCUUGUUGGUGAGGUAAGAGCUCACCAAGGCUAUGACGGGUAGCUGGUCUGAGAGGACGACCAGCCACACUGGGACUGAGACACGGCCCAGACUCCUACGGGAGGCAGCAGUGGGGAAUAUUGGGCAAUGGGCGAAAGCCUGACCCAGCGACGCCGCGUGGGUGAUGAAGGCCUUCGGGUUGUAAAACCCUUUCGUGCGGAAAGAACAGUCCUGUAGCGAAUAGCUGCAGGAUUUGACGGUACCGCAGGAAGAAGCACCGGCUAACUCCGUGCCAGCAGCCGCGGUAAUACGGAGGGUGCAAGCGUUGUUCGGAAUUAUUGGGCGUAAAGGGCGCGUAGGCGGUUAUGAUAGUCAGAUGUGAAAUCCUCCGGCUCAACCGGAGAACUGCACCUGAAACUUCAUAACUCGAGUACAGGAGAGGGAAACGGAAUUCCCGGUGUAGAGGUGAAAUUCGUAGAUAUCGGGAGGAACACCAGUGGCGAAGGCGGUUUCCUGGCCUGAUACUGACGCUGAGGCGCGAAAGCGUGGGGAGCAAACAGGAUUAGAUA